rnacentral:rRNA from 1 species
UACGGGGGGGGGCAAGCGUUUGUUCGGAAUUAUUGGGCGUAAAGAGCUCGUAGGCGGUUUGUCGCGUCUGCCGUGAAAGUCCGGGGCUCAACUCCGGAUCUGCGGUGGGUACGGGCAGACUAGAGUGAUGUAGGGGAGACUGGAAUUCCUGGUGUAGCGGUGAAAUGCGCAGAUAUCAGGAGGAACACCGAUGGCGAAGGCAGGUCUCUGGGCAUUAACUGACGCUGAGGAGCGAAAAGCAUGGGGAGCGAACAGG